ACCUGACUGGUCAUGUGACCAGCUCCUGAGCAGUUGCUGGGGCUGCUGGGAGUUGAGGUCUGUCAGUUGUAUAAUGACAUACACCAGCGCUGUAGCGUGAUGCACAAUAUCUGACAUACUGUAAUACUGCUCAUAGUGGGGUAUUACACUAACAAUUAAAGAGAGGCUACCUUUAGGCCAGGACUAGGUCAGUAUGAUGGCAGGCGGUAUGGAUCAAUGCUGUAUUUGAAAAGAUGCCUAAAAUGUACAUGGGAAUGAACAGUGAGCAAAGAAGCUACACAUUCAUUCAGUAUGGCCACACCCACAAUGAUGUCAACACCUAAAUGUUAUGUGGUGAAAGGGCUUUGGUCUCACCACAAUUGCCCACAUUUCUGUGGGAUCAGCUCCCUCCAAGAAAGAGGAAAACACAUUCUGCAACUAUAGUAAUAAUUUUGAAUUCUGGGUCUUCCAGAGCCAUCAGGAAGUCAGAAGCAGGAGGGAUUUAAAACUCCCAUACACCCACUGCACAGUGCACUGAUGCCUGCCAGAGGCCAGUUAGUAGGCCAUGGUCUCCGUAAUGCUAGGGACAGAUGACACUGGCCGUGCCAGGAGAGCAUGGCAGUUUGUGGCUGCAGGCCACUGCAGCAGGAUUGACUGAUAAGCAUGAGGAGUGCUGGCACAUUUUAGUUUCACCUGUUUGUUUGUUUGUUUGUUUAUUUUAUGUACCUCUAUCGCCAUAAGCCUGGCCAUGCUGUUUUACAGUGUCUGCUAUCAGUAAAAAGACAAUCUGAUUCACCGAAUAA